UUAAAAAAUGUUUAGCAAGUAGGAGUGGCGUGGUUCACAAAAUACACGGUUCGGUUUGUUUCACGGUUUUAGGGUCAAGGUUUUCGGUUCUGUACGGUUCUUGUUAUUUUUUUCUUUUAAUCUUUAACACUACAGAAAUUUACUUCAUUGUAUAAUAUAUAGCUUAAUUAUCCACAAUGUAGGAUACAGUAUUAAAAAAUAGUUGUAUCAUGUGAUCAUGCAUAAACCGAAUUUGACUUGACUUUAAGCACAUUAUUGGGACCAUCCUUAUGGAAUGCAGGUGAGAUUUUGAUACAGCAGAGGGAAGACAUUGAUGAUUUCAACAAGCUUUUGAUUUAUUUGGCAAAAAAGGAGAACGUGUAUUGCCAUCUACAGGAACUUUUGUGCCUUUUUAACACACAAAGAUUAAAAUAUUACAGAAUAGCAAUUGAAAUAACUUGCAUUUAUUAAAUUGCCAACUUUAGUGUAGCUCUUACAAAAAUGUUAGCCUUUAAAAGAAAAAGAGAAACUCUUAAAGCUCAGUCUUUUGAAUAAGUCAGAAUACUUUAAACAUAAAAAA